GGGCGCGUAGCUCAGUUGGUAGAGCAGUUGACUUUUAAUCAGCGGGUCACAGGUUCGAACCCUGUCGCGCUCACCA
rnacentral:tRNA from 4 species